UACGUAGGGUGCAAGCGUUGUCCGGAAUUAUUGGGCGUAAAGAGCUCGUAGGCGGUCUGUCGCGUCGAAUGUGAAAACCCGGGGCUCAACCCCGGGCCUGCAUUCGAUACGGGCAGACUAGAGUUCGGUAGGGGAGUCUGGAAUUCCUGGUGUAGCGGUGAAAUGCGCAGAUAUCAGGAGGAACACCGGUGGCGAAGGCGGGUCUCUGGGCCGAUACUGACGCUGAGGCGCGACAGCGUGGGGAGCAAACAGG
rnacentral:rRNA from 1 species